UACGAAGGGGGCUAGCGUUGUUCGGACUCACUGGGCGUAAAGCGCACGUAGGCGGAUUUGUUAGUCAGGGGUGAAAUCCCGGGGCUCAACCUCGGAACUGCCUUUGAUACUGCAAGUCUCGAGUCCGGAAGAGGUGAGUGGAAUUCCUAGUGUAGAGGUGAAAUUCGUAGAUAUUAGGAAGAACACCAGUGGCGAAGGCGGCUCACUGGUCCGGUACUGACGCUGAGGUGCGAAAGCGUGGGGAGCAAACAGG
rnacentral:rRNA from 1 species